AGGGGUAGGCUUGUUACUGCUAAUAACUGAAAGUCGAAUAUUAUCGACCGUCCCUU
rnacentral:tRNA from 1 species